rnacentral:lncRNA from 1 species
GAAGUGUCACAGCAGAAGGAAACAGCCGGCCUUCAGCCGUUUUACCCGACAAGGAACCAACCAGGCACCAAGGCCAGCUUUUUAUUCCGCAUUCAACAAGAGAGCCUUCCAUUUCAUUUCCAAUGUCAGAAUGCAAAUGAGGACAAGGAAACAGUGAAAAGAAGACACAGAAUGAGAGGAAAAUAGAGAAAAACAGAGAGAAAGAAAGAACAAAGCAGGAAAAAAAACUGAGGAAAAGAAAUAGGUGUAGAGAGGAGAAGAGGAGCUGUGGUUGGUCAAGGGAGAGAGAGAGAGAGAGAGAGAGAGGUGUUACAGUUGGGACAAGCGAUAGAGUAAGAGACAGAGGUGAACAAUGAAGGUAGAAGGACUGGCCCUGCUUUUCCUGUUGUCUGUUAGCUACCAUCUUGUGGUCAGUGAGAGGAAGGCGUCCACUUCUAACCCGCUGGACAGUGUCACAUGGCAGGACAAUGUACGGAUCACUCUACCAGAACCAAAAUGUGGCCACACCACAUUCCUCAAAACGCAGUGUUACCAAAUAUGCCCUGCGGGUCACCUCAUCGUUAGUGGUUUAAAAGGCUGUCAGAAGGGGUGGCACUGUUGCACUUCUUAACCCCAGCGACAACCUCUCAAGGUGAUGUCACUGCCACACCGAAGGAGGGCCCCAUUGCAGAAACAUGGACUUGAUACACUCCACCACAUCACCCACACUCAAAAAUGGCUGAAGAUGUGAUCCUGUAACAAUUGCAUUGCACAUGUUUCAUAAGACACAUACGCACGUACAUACACACACACGUACACACACGUACACACACGUACACACACAUGUAUAC